GCUAAGCUGCACAACAUAGCCGGGAUCUCUUUGAAGAAAUUCAGAAAAAGGUAAAUAAAGCCUGACAUUUCAGCACCAAUGUCGCAAUAUAUGUCAAUGAUUCAAUCUUUCAAUUAUUAAGCCAUUAAUAUUUAUGAGUAAUUCCUAGAAUUGCAAGAUGUCGAGGAGAACACUGCUAACGUAUUUAAAAUUUAGAAGUAUCUUAGCAUCCCUGAGAUUAGAGCUGUAGCUGAUUUGUAAUGUUUUGAUUGGUUAAAAAAGCUUCUAGAUGGAUAUGCUGCAACUCUCUAGGUUCAUUCAGAUCUGCACGAUUUGGGUGAAGAAACCCAUGAACCUAGUUGAUUGUUGUUGUUCAAUUGAAUUAGCAAGAUAAAAACUGUCAUUUUGUAUUAAGAUCUUUAGCUGAUAACUAAGCAAGGCUCAAGAUUUCUGAUACUUUGAUAUUACUGAUGAGCAUUUCGUUUGUAUUAUUUUCUUAGAUUUGAUCACAAAUCUGUAGGCAUAUAAUUUGUAUUGGUGCACUGCAAGGCAAGAAGUAAGUCUAGCUCCUGCAACUCAAAAUAUAUUGGUAUAUUCUUCAUGUGAAUGAUGCAGAAUCAUGAAGUUUCUACUUCUACGUAUAUUAACUGUAACUAGGGAGCUGCAUUUGGGUUCGAAUUGAAAGGAUAAUCUCAUUAACCAGGGAGCUAUCUAUGAUAUAGAGUUUUUGACGUAGUGCCUGGAGAUGACGGCAUCGAGGAACUUCUAGAAUAUGCUAGUCAACAGCUUGUCAACAACAACCCAAUCAAAGUGCGGAUCCAGUUUUGCCGUGUAUUGAUAUGUAUGUUAGGAUGUCUUUAUGAUUGAUGGACAUCGUGAGCUAUAUGUUUAGCUAGGAUCUAGGCUGAUGUUAUAUGACACUAGAUCUAGUAUGGUAGCUACUCUUAUGUUCUUAUGUGCCUACAUGAAUGAAUCAAAGUUUGUAUGGUUAUUGUUGUCCCUGCUGCACGUCGAUAGCAGAUUAAUUGAAUUUUUGGUAUAGUGAGUCACUUGUGGUUGUGAACGAUAUUUGUGGAUUACUUGUGGUGAUACUAAAGUUUAUUUGCA